rnacentral:rRNA from 1 species
GGUAACCAUGAUGUGGGGGAUAGCCAUUGGAAACGAUGGCUAAUACCGCAUGAUGCCUACGGGCCAAAGAGGGGGACCUUCGGGCCUCUCGCGUCAGGAUAUGCCUAGGUGGGAUUAGCUAGUUGGUGAGGUAAUGGCUCACCAAGGCGACGAUCCCUAGCUGGUCUGAGAGGAUGAUCAGCCACACUGGAACUGAAGACACGGUCCAGACUCCUACGGGAGGCAGCAGUGGGGAAUAUUGCACAAUGGGCGCAAGCCUGAUGCAGCCAUGGCGGUGAAUGAGGAAGGCCUUGGGGUGGUAAAGCACUUU